rnacentral:rRNA from 1 species
CGCGUAGGCGGAUGGGACAGUCUGGUGUGAAAGCCCGGGCUCAACCCCGGAAGUGCACUGGAAACUACUCAUCUUGAGUUCGGGAGAGGAGGGCAGAAUUCCCGGUGUAGGGGUGAAAUCCGUAGAGAUCGGGAGGAAAAUCAGUGGCGAAGGCGGCCCUCUGGAACGAAACUGACGCUGAGGCGCGAAAGCGUGGGGAGCAAACA